rnacentral:lncRNA from 1 species
AAAACACCCAGCUGCAGCUGUUUAAUGAGCAACUCGAAGCUGUGGAUAAGAGCAAUCACUGCACCCAGCCACCUCUAUAUACAUGUACACAAAGCCACACAGUUUACACAGUCACAGGUAUUUAAGUACACACUAUUCACACACAAAUACAUAUAUAGACACACAUGUACAGUCCGUCCAAAAUAUAUGUACAUAAAAGCACACUAUUACACCUUCAUAUGUGCACACACACACACACCCAGACUCACUUCAUACACACAUAGAUACAACAGCCACAGCUCCCCAUCACCUACACACACACACACACACCUGGACACCCAGCUCUAAUAUAAUCAGAUAGAGAUAUGCAUGCAGACAAAUUUGCCUGUAUAGUCAAACACAUAGGCAAAUAGAGAACGAGACACCACAUGAACAAAGGCAAACCUACACACAAAGACACAGAGCACAC